GCCCUCGUGGUGUAGUGGUCAGCACGCUCGACGCGAAACUUUAAUGCGAAUAAAAUCGAGAGGCGCGUGGUUCGAUUCCCGGCGAAAGCG
rnacentral:tRNA from 1 species